AAGUGUGUUGUGAAAUGUAGACGCUCAACGUCUGACUUGCAGCGCAUACUGGUUUCCUUGAGUACGCACAACGUUGGCGGAAUUCGUCGUGUAGCGGUGAAAUGCUUAGAUAUGACGAAGAACUCCGAUUGCGAAGGCAGCUGACGGGAGCGCAACUGACGCUGAAGCUCGAAGGUGCGGGUAUCGAACAGGAUUAGAUACCCUGGUAGUCCGCACAGUAAACGAUGGAUGCCCGCUGUUGGUACCUGGUAUCAGCGGCUAAGCGAAAGCAUUAAGCAUCCCACCUGGGGAGUACGCCGGCAACGGUGAAACUCAAAGGAAUUGACGGGGGCCCGCACAAGCGGAGGAACAUGUGGUUUAAUUCGAUGAUACGCGAGGAACCUUACCCGGGCUUGAAUUGCAGACGAACGAUUCA
rnacentral:rRNA from 1 species